CAGUAUAUAUUUUAAUUAAAAUAUUAAUUUUGGAGAUUAAUGAUAGUAUACAUAUAUUUAUACUGA
rnacentral:tRNA from 1 species